UACGUAGGGUGCAAGUGUUAUCCGGAAUCACUGGGCGUAAAGCGUCUGUAGGUGGUUUAAAAAGUCCACUGUUAAAAAUUGAAGCUUAACUUCAAAGAUGCCGUGGAAACUUUUAAACUAGAGUAUGGUAGGGGUAGAGGGAAUUUCCAGUGGAGCGGUGAAAUGCGUAGAUAUUGGAAAGACCACCGAUGGCGAAGGCACUCUACUGGGCCAUUACUGACACUGAGAGACGAAAGCUAGGGGAGCAAAUGGG
rnacentral:rRNA from 1 species